GGGAGGGAUCGCCAGGACCGAGCGGAACCGGGUUGGGAUGAGAUGGGACGGGACCGGACAGGAUUGCGGCCGCUGCCGGACCCGGCGGCCGAGCGGCGGCACUCGGCCAGGCCCGGCGGCUGAGGGGCGGCACUUGGCCAGGCCCGGCCGCACCUGUCGCCUCCGCCGCUUUGAGGGUUAUUAAUUCACAGACGCAGCAACUGUGAUUUAAGCCUUUAAGUCACUGAAAAGACUGCGGAUAUUUAAUACAGCUAAAUAACUUUUUACUCAUUUUUUGCUGAUUGGGUGCUUUCAGGAAUUCCCGCGGCCUGAGGGUUGGUCCUGCCACCCUGGCUGCACCGCACAACACGGCUACAGCUCCUCGAAAGCUUAUUUAUCACAGAAGAGCUGUGUGGGAUCCGUAACUCAGGAACAUUAUUGGUAAUUUUAUUGGGAAGAUGAAACUGCCAAGUGUCAAAACCUCACAGUCCCUGAAGCCGUGUCACAACAUGAAGCAGGGAGUGUGUUGUUAUUUUUUAUGAUGCUUACUACUUGGCCCUUUCCUAGUUGAUAGAGCACCUUUUCCUGAGCAAGUUGUAAUCACACACCAUCACUGCGGGUGGGAUACCAAUGAUAUCAAACUAUAUCACUGAUUUAUCAAACAUAUCUGCAGUCUUUGUGUUGUCUCUUAUUGAGAGGCCAGUUAGUCAGGCUUCACAGCAUCAAUGAGAGGUUUCACGCUGGACCUGCGCAGGCACCUCAGCCAUGAAUGAACGCUGGCCUCCGUGUCUUCCCAGUAUCAUCACAUUAGAAACACUAAUCAGCAGCUUUCUGACAGCCCCCACACUUUCAGAUAAACCACAUUUCUCUGUUUUGUAGAAUCAAGAAGUCUCAAGUAACCUUUCAAGCAAAGAUUAAGCUGGAGACUACUAUUCUCAUGCUCAGGAGCUUGAUAUCAUUAUAAGGUAUUAUAAGCCUUCAAUUCAACAUUCAUUGCAUAGUUCAGUAUUCAGAUAGAAGAACUCAGUGUUGGGGAAAAGAUCAUGGAGCUUGAGAAACUGAUUCCAUUAAACUCUUGCUCUUAGUGAAUAAGAUGUUGCAGGGAAAUAAGUACCUAAUAUCAAUCCCAACUUCCUCAUCCAAUACAACUUUUGCUGUUGAAACUGAAACACUUUCUGCAUUAUAAUGACUGUACUUCUUUACAUCAUUAAAUAAAUACAAAACUAUA